GUCCUACGGGGGGCAGCAGUGGGGAAUAUUGCACAAUGGGGGGAACCCUAAUGCAGCGACGCCGCGUGAGUGAAGAAGUAUUUCGGUAUGUAAAGCUCUAUCAGCAGGGAAGAAAAUGACGGUACCUGACUAAGAAGCCCCGGCUAACUACGUGCCAGCAGCCGCGGUAAUACGUAGGUGGCAAGCGUUAUCCGGAUUUACUGGGUGUAAAGGGCGUGUAGGCGGGACUGCAAGUCAGAUGUGAAAAUUAUGGGCUCAACCCAUAACCUGCAUUUGAAACUGUAGUGCUUGAGUGAUGGAGAGGG
rnacentral:rRNA from 1 species